AAUCAACGCUGGCGGCGUGCCUAACACAUGCAAGUCGAACGAGAAAGUGGAGCAAUCCAUGAGUAAAGUGGCGACCGGGUGAGUAACACGUGACUAACCUACCUCCGAGUGGGGAAUAACUCCGGGAAACCGGGGCUAAUACCGGAUACGCCCUUCGGGGGAAAGAAUUUCGCUAUAAGAGGAGCGCUCGUUGGAUUAGCUAGUUGGUGAGGUAACGGCUCACCAAGGCUACGAUCCAUAGCUGGUCUGAGAGGACGACCAACAUCACUGGGACUGAGACACGGCCCAGACUCCUACGGGAGGCAGCAGUGGGGAAUGUUGGACAAUGGGGGAAACCCUGAUCCAGCAAUGCCGCGUGGAUUAUGAAGGUCUUCGGAUUGUAAAGUCCUUUUGGCGGGGACGAUGAUGACGUUACCCGCAGAAUAAGCUCCGGCUAACUUCGUGCCAGCCGCCGCAGUAA
rnacentral:rRNA from 1 species